rnacentral:RNase_P_RNA from 1 species
UUUGGAUUUCAGGUAUUCGCUUGGUUCUUUAGAAUUUGAGAGGAAAGUCCGGACACCAACGGGCAGGAUUCCUUGUGAAAACGGGGGCACUUCGACUCAAGUCGAAGUGACGGCUAGUGUCACAGAAAACAUACCGCCUUCUGCUUGCCGGAAGGUAAGGUUGAAAAGGUGGGGUAAGAGCCCACCGCGCUUCCGAGUAAUCGGAGUGGCAGGAUAAACCCAAUCUGGUGCAAGACAAAAUAGGGGAUCAGGUAGCCCGCUUAAUGAUCCCGGGUAUGUCGCGCUCCGCUUGCGGAGAUCAGGUUCGCCUGUUAGAUAAAUGAAUACCAGCCCGCAAGGGCGACAAAAUCCGGCUUACGAAGUCCAAAGCUG